rnacentral:rRNA from 1 species
GGUCAAGUGAAGAAGCGCAUACGGUGGAUGCCUUGGCAGUCAGAGGCGAUGAAAGACGUGGUAGCCUGCGAAAAGCUUCGGGGAGUCGGCAAACAGACUGUGAUCCGGAGAUGUCUGAAUGGGGGAACCCAGCCAUCAUAAGAUGGUUAUCUUGUACUGAAUACAUAGGUGCAAGAGGCGAACCAGGGGAACUGAAACAUCUAAGUACCCUGAGGAAAAGAAAUCAACCGAGAUUCCCUUAGUAGUGGCGAGCGAACGGGGACCAGCCCUUAAGUUGUAUUGAGAUUAGCGGAACGUUCUGGAAAAGACGGCCAUAGUGGGUGAUAGCCCUGUACGCGAAAAUCCCUUUGCAAUGAAAUCGAGUAGGACGGGGCACGAGAAACCUUGUCUGAAUAUGGGGGGACCAUCCUCCAAGGCUAAAUACUACUGACUGACCGAUAGUGAACCAGUACCGUGAGGGAAAGGCGAAAAGAACCGCGGAGAGCGGAGUGAAAUAGAUCCUGAAACCGUAUGCGUACAAGCAGUGGGAGCCCACUUUGUUGGGUGACUGCGUACCUUUUGUAUAAUGGGUCAGCGACUUAUUUUCAGUGGCGAGCUUAACCGAAUAGGGGAGGCGUAGCGAAAGCGAGUCUUAAUAGGGCGUCUAGUCGCUGGGAAUAGACCCGAAACCGGGCGAUCUAUCCAUGGGCAGGUUGAAGGUUGGGUAACACUAACUGGAGGACCGAACCGACUACCGUUGAAAAGUUAGCGGAUGACCUGUGGAUCGGAGUGAAAGGCUAAUCAAGCUCGGAGAUAGCUGGUUCUCCUCGAAAGCUAUUUAGGUAGCGCCUCAUGUAUCACUGUAGGGGGUAGAGCACUGUUUCGGCUAGGGGGUCAUCCCGACUUACCAAACCGAUGCAAACUCCGAAUACCUACAAGUGCCGAGCAUGGGAGACACACGGCGGGUGCUAACGUCCGUCGUGAAAAGGGAAACAACCCAGACCGUCAGCUAAGGUCCCAAAGUCAUGGUUAAGUGGGAAACGAUGUGGGAAGGCUUAGACAGCUAGGAGGUUGGCUUAGAAGCAGCCACCCUUUAAAGAAAGCGUAAUAGCUCACUAGUCGAGUCGGCCUGCGCGGAAGAUGUAACGGGGCUCAAACCAUGCACCGAAGCUACGGGUAUCAUCUUUUGAUGAUGCGGUAGAGGAGCGUUCUGUAAGCCUGUGAAGGUGAGUUGAGAAGCUUGCUGGAGGUAUCAGAAGUGCGAAUGCUGACAUGAGUAACGACAAUGGGUGUGAAAAACACCCACGCCGAAAGACCAAGGUUUCCUGCGCAACGUUAAUCGACGCAGGGUUAGUCGGUCCCUAAGGCGAGGCUGAAAAGCGUAGUCGAUGGAAAACAGGUUAAUAUUCCUGUACUUCUGGUUAUUGCGAUGGAGGGACGGAGAAGGCUAGGCCAGCCUGGCGUUGGUAGUCCAGGUUUAAGGUGGUAGGCUGAGAUCUUAGGUAAAUCCGGGAUCUUAAGGCCGAGAGCUGAUGACGAGUGUUCUUUUAGAACACGAAGUGGUUGAUGCCAUGCUUCCAAGAAAAGCUUCUAAGCUUCAGGUAACCAGGAACCGUACCCCAAACCGACACAGGUGGUUGGGUAGAGAAUACCAAGGCGCUUGAGAGAACUCGGGUGAAGGAACUAGGCAAAAUGGCACCGUAACUUCGGGAGAAGGUGCGCCGGUGGAGGUGAAGCAUUUACUGCGUAAGCCCCUGCCGGUCGAAGAUACCAGGCCGCUGCGACUGUUUAUUAAAAACACAGCACUCUGCAAACACGAAAGUGGACGUAUAGGGUGUGACGCCUGCCCGGUGCCGGAAGGUUAAUUGAUGGGGUUAGCGCAAGCGAAGCUCUUGAUCGAAGCCCCGGUAAACGGCGGCCGUAACUAUAACGGUCCUAAGGUAGCGAAAUUCCUUGUCGGGUAAGUUCCGACCUGCACGAAUGGCGUAACGAUGGCGGCGCUGUCUCCACCCGAGACUCAGUGAAAUUGAAAUCGCUGUGAAGAUGCAGUGUAUCCGCGGCUAGACGGAAAGACCCCGUGAACCUUUACUAUAGCUUUGCACUGGACUUUGAAUUUGCUUGUGUAGGAUAGGUGGGAGGCUUUGAAGCGUGGACGCCAGUCUGCGUGGAGCCAACCUUGAAAUACCACCCUGGCAACUUUGAGGUUCUAACUCAGGUCCGUUAUCCGGAUCGAGGACAGUGUAUGGUGGGUAGUUUGACUGGGGCGGUCUCCUCCUAAAGAGUAACGGAGGAGUACGAAGGUGCGCUCAGACCGGUCGGAAAUCGGUCGUAGAGUAUAAAGGCAAAAGCGCGCUUGACUGCGAGACAGACACGUCGAGCAGGUACGAAAGUAGGUCUUAGUGAUCCGGUGGUUCUGUAUGGAAGGGCCAUCGCUCAACGGAUAAAAGGUACUCCGGGGAUAACAGGCUGAUACCGCCCAAGAGUUCAUAUCGACGGCGGUGUUUGGCACCUCGAUGUCGGCUCAUCACAUCCUGGGGCUGAAGCCGGUCCCAAGGGUAUGGCUGUUCGCCAUUUAAAGUGGUACGCGAGCUGGGUUUAGAACGUCGUGAGACAGUUCGGUCCCUAUCUGCCGUGGACGUUUGAGAUUUGAGAGGGGCUGCUCCUAGUACGAGAGGACCGGAGUGGACGAACCUCUGGUGUUCCGGUUGUCACGCCAGUGGCAUUGCCGGGUAGCUAUGUUCGGAAAAGAUAACCGCUGAAAGCAUCUAAGCGGGAAACUUGCCUCAAGAUGAGAUCUCACUGGAACCUUGAGUUCCCUAAAGGGCCGUCGAAGACUACGACGUUGAUAGGUUGGGUGUGUAAGCGCUGUGAGGCGUUGAGCUAACCAAUACUAAUUGCCCGUGAGGCUUGACCAU